rnacentral:rRNA from 1 species
UCCCUGCCCUUUGUACACACCGCCCGUCGCUACUACCGAUUGAAUGAUUUAGUGAGGUCUUCGGACUGGCGCGCGGUGUUCCUUCGGGAUCGCCGCUGCUGCCGGAAAGAUGACCAAACUUGAUCAUUUAGAGGAAGUAAAAGUCGUAACAAGGUUUCCGUAGGUGAACCUGCGGAAGGAUCAUUA